GAACAAAACAAUGUACCAAAGCAUAGUCACAUCACAUGUUCAUUUGAGCAGUGUUUCUAUCACUGAUUUUGUCAUCCUCUCAAUGCUGCAGGAACUUACCCAUGGCAUCCUUCUUUCUUUCUUCUUCAACCUUUCUUCCUCUGCCUUCUUCUUAUAAACUCUUCUUAUCCCUACACCACGACUACUCCCCCCACCUCAGCUUUAACAAUUUUCAAUACCCACUUCGGAAACAUCUCACAUUCACUCUCUGUGCUUCUUCACUUAACAAAUCUUCGAGGUCUAGGAGAAAGGUGAAGAGCAAUGAAGAAUUGCGAAAUGAUUUAAGGGAGUUCUUGUCUGGGGUUGGACUUCCCAAUGAUCAUGUGCCUACCAUGAAGGAGCUUUUAGAGCAUGGAAGAAAUGACCUGGCAAAUAUUGUAAGACGGAGAGGCUAUAAAUUUGUUGGAGAGCUUCUUGCGAAGUCAACAAAAACAGACUCUGAUGAUUUCAUUGCAGAGGAGGGCUUACCAGAUCUCAUAACUGAUGAAACUGGUUUGCCACCUAUAGAAUCCCCAUCCUGUUCAGGCGUGGAGGAGAAAGCCUCAACCUCAUUCAAUAUAGAAGGUCAGCAUGAGGAGAAGAAUAUAGCUGAAAAUAUCUCCUCAUCAAAUGAUGUCUCCAUUGUGGAAAGUUAUCCCAGUAGUUCAAAUGUUGAACUGUCCCCCAACUUUUUUCAAUAUCAUUACACGUCCCCAAAAGCUUCACCCAAUCUAACCUUGGAGGAAAAGGUUUCAAACUUUGUUCAGAAUGGAGAUUUGGAUGAUGUGUAUGGCAUUUUCGAUGAAAGGGAUGCUAAAGUAAGUAAGGAAGUCGCUGAAGGAGGGAACAAGUCAGGGAUACCUGGUGCAGAGCAUUUACACCGUGUUUAUAAACACACAGCAGUUGGUGGUGUGGCAUUGAAUGGGAGUGCAUUGACAUCCAACAAACUUGCUUCUUCUGAGACUGUAAAUCACCCUCUUAGGGAUGAUGGUUUGGCAGCUGAAGAACUAAUUAGUGCUGAUUUUGACAAGGAUUUGGAUAUUGAGACUGGCAGAAUUGAGAAUCAACUCGAGAUUGAUAAUCUAAAAUCUAUGCUGCAACAAAAGGAGUUCGAAUUGUCUCGAUUGAAGGAACAGAUUGAGAAGGAGCAACAUGCUUUGUCUGUUUUGCAAACCAAAGCUGAGACAGAAAUCACUAAAGCUCAGCAACUUAUCUCUGCAAAAGAUGCUGAACUAAAUGCUGUUGAAGAAAGCUUCUCAGGAUUAGAGGAGGUUGAGAUCCAAUACUCUGGAGAUGGUGAAAUUGUUGAGGUUGCUGGCAGCUUCAAUGGUUGGCAUCAACUAAUCAAAAUGGAUCCUAAGCCAUCUUCUAGCAUCAUUGAAAACAUUGGAUCAAGAACAGGAUACUCAGCGUCAUGGAUGUUGAUGUCUGGAUAUUUUGUAAGUUGUUGUCUGUCAAUCAUCAAUGUGCAAAAAAUGUCAACUGAAAUCCAGAACUUGGUCAACUGUCCUGUGGCUCUAUCCUGGGAUGUAUGAGAUUAAGUUUGUUGUUGAUGGUGAAUGGAAAACUGAUCCCCAGAGAGAGUCAGUUACCCGGGGUGGCAUAUUGAACAAUAUUCUCCGUGUGAACAGAUGACAUGAUUUUGGGUGGGAGGAGUUUUUGGUGUGAUCCUUAUCUGCAAGUUCUAGACUGCUGAGGUGCACAACAAACAGCACUUACAGUUAUCAAGUUCGGAGUACUGCAAGCAGAGAUGGAUCAGUUUAAUGUUCAGUGCCAUUGAAUUAGAAACACUUAAGCUUGCUCUCCACAUGGUAAAAAGGGGGCUGACGUAUCCUGAUCUACACAGAUUUUGGAGCGAUGCCUGCUAUUUUGUACAAAACGCAAAAGGGAUUUAGCUUAUUGUACACAAUGUAUGAAUAUAUGUACUUUUAGGUUUAUAUUUUUCUGCAUUUUCUGCUUCAAGAAUUAUGAGACUUUUUGAUGAAGAGGAGACUAGAGUUCAAAUUUUAGCACUUAUUCUGUUGCGCUGCCAAUGUACAGAAGUUAGAUUAGUUUCUAGGAAGUGUUUCUGUCAAAUGUUUAUACUUGUUGUCAAUUUUAUUGCUCCUUCCACUGCCACAAUAACAAGAACUCUUAGUCUAACUGUUAUGUGAAGAGUAGGAAAUCAUAAUGCAGAAUGAGUUGCCAAACUUCACAUGUUACAUUUGAGCCAGACGGCAUCUGUUAAUAAGAAACAUAAAAUGUAGUUCUGCUUAAUUGUAGUACUUUGUC